rnacentral:rRNA from 1 species
AGUAAAGUGGCGACCGGGUGAGUAACACGUGACUAACCUACCUUCGAGUGGGGGAUAACCUCGGGAAACCGAGGCUAAUACCGCAUAACAUCGCAAGAUCAAAGCAGCAAUGCGCUGGAAGAGGGGGUCGCGGCUGAUUAGCUAGUUGGCGGGGUAACGGCCCACCAAGGCGAAGAUCGGUAUCCGGCCUGAGAGGGCGCACGGACACACUGGAACUGAAACACGGUCCAG